rnacentral:rRNA from 1 species
CUCAGUUCGGAUCGGAGUCUGNAACCCGACUCCGUGAAGCUGGAUUCGCUGUAAUCGCGCAUCAGCCAUGGCGCGGUGAAUACGUUCCCGGGCCUUGUACACACCGCCCGUCAAGCCAUGGGAGCCGGGGGUGCUUGAAGUGCGUCGCCGCAAGGCGCGCCCUAGAGCAAAACCGGUGACUGGGGCUAAGUCGUAACAAGGUACC